rnacentral:tRNA from 1 species
GCCGGGGAAGAACCUUCGGAGGUUCACCCGUUUCGUACGCGGGAGGGAGACGGUUCGAAUCCGGUCCCCGGCUCCA